rnacentral:rRNA from 1 species
ACCCUCCGCGCCCCCGCGCCGCCCGCCUCGCCGCCGCCCGUCGCCCCGCGCUCCCCCGCCGGCGCCCGGAGGACCCCUUCGACCCCGCGCCGCGCCGCGCCCCGCCCCGCGCGCCUCCGCCCCAAACCCUAACCCUAGCUCCGCGGGCCGCGGCCCCCGAGCUAUUGCCCGUGGCGGUUUGCGGGAAGAUAACCGUCUCGUUGCAGACGCCCUGUCUGCGUAAUUUCGCCGGCGAAUCUAGCGGUGUGUGAGCGAUGACUUCUUUGGCUUCUGCGCUACUUUGAAUACUCAGCCUGAGCCGCGUUCUAUGGGUGGAAUGAUUGAAUACGGCGUUAGUGUCAGUACCAAGUCUUCACCACGCAGUGUGGCCAUUGAAAAAGCUCAGGAGGAGCUCAGGCAGGAGUACGAUGUCCGUGAAGAACGGAGGAGGGAGCUAGAAUUUCUGGAGAAAGGUGGCAACCCAUUAGAUUUCAAGGUUGACCGUGUAGAAUCAAUCAGUGUGCAAUCCACUUCUCUCACAGCGGAACAAAAUGUGAUAAGCGAAGCUAAAGGCAGCUUUACGUUUGCUGCAUCACCUCGUGGGGAUUCAGUUGAGAGUAGUGGCAAACCAGGAAGUUCACUGUGCCGCGAAACCAACACAGCAGAUAAUCUUAUGCUUUUUGGUGGUAAUAACAAUGGCGUUGUGAAGGAGAAAGUUGUAAAGAGAGGAUCCAGAAGAGCUAAUGUAGCUCAACCCAGACAGUCUUCUGAGGGCCACAACAAUGUAAAAAGAGCUGAUGAUUCUGGUUUGUCACGCCUUGGAGUGAAGAGCCAGGCAUAUGUUCGACGCAACAGGUCAAAGCAAUGUAGGGAGAGUGCUAACGUGACUUCUGUAACAUCUCCUGUGAUUCCUGCUACAGCUUCGGAACCAAAAGAUGCAAGGGGUGUGGUCAAGGAAAAGCGAGCCGAUGAUCUUGGUGUAUCCUAUGGUUCAAAUUUAAACCAGGCAGGACCAAAGUGCGACAAUGGGCCGAAUAAAGCUUCUGACAAACAUGUUACAAUUGAGUUGAAUGGGAUUCAAGCCGUUCGCAAAGGCCACCGCAUAGUAAAGAUCGAACCAGUGGAAUAUGACGAAAUGGUGCCCAAUUAUGUGAAUCGAAAUCAGCAGCCUGAUGAACGUGGGAAGAUAGCUGAAGAAGGUGCAUCAAUAGAACCCCCUGAUGCUACUUCAAAAGCCGUUCUAAGGUCAUCUUAUUCUAGCGCAUGCACACAUGAUAAGACAGAAACAUGUGCUGCUGCUGAGAAGGCUGGCACUAAUCACCUGGAUGAAGGUAUGGCCCAAGUCCAUGUAGGUGAACUGGAUAACAGCAGUAUGAUUCCUGUCUCUGCUGUCCAAGCUGCCACUUUGCACAAAAAUGUGACAGAUCCAUGUUGUGAAGACAUUGCCAGUACUAUUGACAAUGGAGCAGAUGAUAAUAAUCCAGUUCCAAUGAAUAUUGAUGGAAAAUCACAUGAAGACCCGGACAUCAGUGGUAUUUCUAGCAAGGCUGUUAAGGAAGGUGGACAACCGGAAGGUUCUAGCAGGCCUAUUUCCGUGAUUGGAAAUUCUAGUCCUGUACCACCUGAAGUUAGUACUCGUGCCCGUGUGAAAGUUGAAAUGGAAACUUUUGAUGAUGCAAUGGUUGUACAGAAGGAUACAAGCUGCUCACAUCCAGGACAAAUUGUGAACAAUAAUGGAGGUCCAGGUUUGGAGAGGAUUGACAGUUGUCAUGGGGUUUCUAACUCCGCCCAUCCUAUCGUUAUAGGCUCUGCUCUAAAUACUUUGGUUGAUUCUACACCAUCAUUAAAAACUGAUGGGUCUAAGGCGGAGAGUGAGAUUCGAAAAAAUGGAGAGAGCGUCAAUAAGAUGACAGACAAGGAACGCGAAGAUUCUAUCCUUCGAGAAGCUCGUCUUAUAGAGGUGAGUCUCAAGAGAGCUUGUGAACGAUCUCCAUGUAAUAUAUCUUUAGAAAGGAGGAGAAAGGGUCAUUGGGAUUUUGUCCUCGAGGAGAUGGCUUGGAUGGCCAAUGAUUUCAUGCAGGAACGCCUAUGGAGAAUUACGGCUGCAUCUCAAGUGUGCCAUUGGAUUGCCUCCGAUGGUCUGGCCAAGUUUGACCAAGCAAGCAUUCUUAGAAAGCAGAAAACUGUCAGUAGAACCCUUGCAAAGGGUGUCAUAAGUUUUUGGCGUUCAGCUGAGGCUGUCCUAACUACUGGCGGAACAGCUAAAGUGAUGCAAAAAAAUGAUUCAAAUAUGCUAGGAGAGACAAAGCCUACUGGAACCAAAGCUGAGAAACAACAGGGCAAUGAAAGCUUGGAAGCGGAACAGUCUAUACAUCCUCUUCGAUCUCAUAUUCAGGAUUAUGCAGUUCGAUUUCUUGAAUAUAGCAGUCAGGCUUCUGAUUCUGCUGCGUUGACUGAAGCACCACCUACACCUGACAGGCCGAAUGACUUCGGCAUCUUGAAAGUGUCUGAUCAACUUUCACAGGGAAGUCUCUUCUACACAGUACCACCUGGUGCAAUGCUGGCAUACAGGGAGUCCAUGGAAUCUCUUUUCAUGUAUCAUAAGAAAAUUGGUAACUCUGGACUUCGUUAUGAUUAUGAGGCAUCUGCAUGUGAUUCUGCUGCAGGGUGGGCUCAGGAUAAUGUCUAUGAGGAGGAUGAAGGCGAGGCUUCUACUUAUUUGUCACAAAAGGGUCACAAGAAGAAAAACAGUAUGCAGCAGAGGAUUAAUGGUUCAAGGCCAUAUGAAACUGACGUGUCUUAUGAUCCGCGCUUGGAAAGCAAGGCAGGAAACCGGCAGUUCGUUUCAAAUGGCAAAAGACCUUCAUCUUUUGUUGGAAUUCCUACAAAGCGCAUCCGCACAGCCGCCAGACAACGAGUUGUAAGCCCAUUUCCUGCUAGUGCUGGUGGGACUCCCCAAGUCACAAGUAAAACGGAUGUUUCAAGUGGAGACACAAACUCUUACCAAGAUGAUCAAAGUCCAUUACAUGGUGGGUCCUCGGCGUGGAAAAAUAUGGAAUAUGAAUCAACAGGUGAUUUUGACAGACAUGAUGGUAGCGAAGCAUGGACUAAAGCUAACAAGAAGAAGAAACAAAAGAACCCAGGAUACAAGACUGCUCAAAAUACAGCCAAUUCACGUGCCGCUGCUGUAAAGGGCCGGAUCUACGAUCAGAGAUCGCAAGUUAAUCAAUACGAGCAGAAGGAUUAUCUGAAGAAGAGACCAGAGACCCAACAAUUUUAUUCAAAUGGAACAAUUGUUGCAAAUGGUGGUCAACAUGCUUCUAAGAAGCUUAAAACAAUGAAGCAAGGGAUAUAUAUUAAACAAGAACCUUCUCAAGUUCCAUCACAGAUGAGCAAUAUGGCGCCUGCUAAUAAAAUUAUAAAGAUCAUCACUAAUAAGGACCGUGGGAGAAAAGUGAAAGCGCUAAAGAUGCCUUCUGGUGGUGGAUGGUCAAACUUCGAGGAUCAGGCUCUUGUUGUCCUUGUCCAUGACUUGGGUCAAAAUUGGGAAUUAGUAAGUGAUGCAAUCAAUAACAUUGUGCAGUUCAAGUCUGUACAUAGACAACCUAAAGAAUGCAAAGAGCGCCAUAGGGUUCUUGUGGAUAAAAGUUCUGGUGAUGGUGCUGACAGUGCAGAAGACUCUGGUUCAUCUCAACAGUAUCAUUUCACCAUACCUGGCAUUCCACAGGGUAGUGCCAGGCAGUUGUUCCAGCGACUUCAAGGACCAUUUGAGGAAGAGAAUCUGAAGUCACAUUUUGAAAAAAUUAUGCUCCUCAUGCCAAAAGUGCUAUCCAGGCGUAGACAGGUUAAUAGCCGGGAGCUGAAGCCGAUCGUACUACCACAUAGUUCUCAUGUUGUUGCACUUACACAAGCAUGCCCGAACAACUUAUCUGGGGGCAUUUUGAUGCCACUUGAUCUUUGUGAUGUAAAUCUGAGCCUCGAUGCAGUCACACCUGGCAGCGGAAACCAGAUUUCUCAUCCAAACGGGAUGACACUGUCGAAUCAACAUGGUUCUGCUGGUCCUACUACCACUCCUCCUACUCCCAAUCCAAAUUCAAGGUUGCCAGGGUCUCCUGGUAUGGUUCUGGGCAGCAACUUUUCGCCACCUUCAGCACUGAGUGCCCCUUCUAGGGAUUCUCAGAAAUAUGGUGUUCCUAGACCGUCCUCUAUACAGGGUGAUGAGCAACAGAAGAUUCAGUAUAAUCAAAUGCUCAGUGGUAGAAAUCUUCAGCAACCUGGAGCUGUUCCUGCAACAAGUCCUGGUACUCGUAUGAUGCCUGGUGCUCAUGGUGUUGGAAUGAUGACAGGGGUAAAUCGAGGUAUGCCUGCAGUCAGGGCAGGCUUUCCAAGAGCUGGUUCCCCAGGAAUGCUGAAUAUGGCAUCGACAGGAAACAUGCCACUCAAAACUGUGCAAGGAGUGCCAAAUGCCAUGUCUCCCGCUGGAAAUUCUAUGAUGAGGCCACGCGAUCCUAUGCAGAUGCUUCGUCCUGGUCAGCAGCAUAUGGUGAGGCCGGAGCACCACAUGCAGGUUUCACAGGGAAAUAGCCAAGCUGCCCACUUCAGCAGCAUGAAUCCAUCAUUCUCCAAGGCUGCAGCUUCUUCACCUCUUCAGCAAACCCAAAGGCCACAUCAGAUGUCACAGCCACUGAACAUGCUGGGUAACCCGCAUCUUUCUCAGACCCAAGGAACCAGCCAUCCAAGCCCACAGCAGCAGCCAUAUUCUACUAUGCCUAUGCAGCUGGCUAAGGAAAGACAAUUUCAACACCGCUUGGUGUCUCAACAGCACAACAGUCUUCCUGUAGCAGGUGUGCAGAACGGACCACAGAUUCAGCAGCAGAACCAUGCAUCUCCGGUCACUUCAACCCCUUCUUCACAACCUCUGCCUCAGAAGCAGCAGUCUGCACAAAGCCCAACAGAUAGCUCUGCACUUGCCAAUCGACCUGCCAAUGCUACAGAACCUAAGCAGAAGAAACAGCAGGGUCAACAGCAGCCUAGACAGAAUCAACAACAGAGGAACCAAGCUAGUCAACAAGCUAAGCUUAUGAAGAGUCUAGGACGAGGAAACAACAUGGCGACACCUCAGACUCCUGCAGCCGACGCAACUCCACCCAGUGCUGUCCCUACAGCUUCCAAGAAACAAGUUCCUGACAGAAAUCCGAUGCAACAUGGGCAAGGGUCCUCCGCUGGUAGUAAAGCGUCAACUUCAGUUACACCUCAGCCUGGGAAUCAACAUAAGCUAUAUGCCUCGCAGCAGCCUCCAAAUAUCGGUAACCAAGGCUUGGUGCAGGGUCCUCCUAGUCACACCGUCUUUGCUGCACAACCGCCCCCACUCCAUUCCAGGUACCCGGUGACCACGCAGCAGCGUCCAAUGAAUCCAGCACAGAACAACAUCCAGAGAAUGAUGAUGCAACAAAGCCUCCAAAUGAAGCCCGACUCACAGAUGGACCAAGUCCAGCACAGCCAGGCGAUUCCAGCCACACCGACAUCUCACAGUUCAGAGGCAGGCAGUCCUGGGCUUUCAGCGCAUGACCCAGCUGCAGUUACAUCGACAUCUAAGCCGCUCAGCUCCCCCAAGGACAAUUAUGCCGGGAACGGAACUUCAGCGCCAUCGUCGUCUAGCCAAGGCAUGCUGCAGAGGCAAAUAUCAGGCGGAACACCAUCCAGCCAAGGCAUGCUGCAGAGGCAAAUUUCAGGCGGAUCAUCAUCCAGCCAAGGCAUGCUGCAGAGGCAGAUUUCGGGCGGGCUGCUGCCUGUGCAUGGACAAGAGGUGAGUGGCUCAUGGCACCACCAACAGCUGUCUAGGCCACACCUGCCUCCCCCGCAUCAUCAGCAGAGACCAGUUGCUCCAGGCAGCAUGUAUGCUCCCCCGAAUCCAGGGUCAGGGUGACGAAAUCUCUGACACUGGCUGGUCGUAUUCAUGGAGCAUCCCUUCUCUCUGAAAUCCAAAGUUACUGUACAGGUGUUGGACCGAUGGAACGGAAUGGAAGUCGUUGCUGACAGUGGUCCUGAACAAAGCUACUUUUGGUAUUUUGUUGUUAGGUGGUAGAUAAGUAAGAUGAUUUGGCAAUGCAUUGCCACCCCUCCUUUCUGAGGUUGGUCGGCUGCAGUGAGUCUAGAUAAGAGAGAUAGAUUGAUGAUGGUGGUAUGGUAGCUGGUAGCUGGUUUUGGAGGAGGAAGGAGGAGGUGCUUGUUGCGUGCGACAGCUAACUUUUGUUUUCCGUGUCUCUGUGUACAUGCUGCUGCUGCUUCUUGGUCGUAGAGCCAGUGUCUCUGACUAGUGACUGUAUAAAUUUGUUGUCGUUGUGAUCGUUUUAACUUAUAUAACAGUGGUACAACAAGUUGAUUAAAUGUGACAGUGCAUAGUUGAAAGAGUGCCCAGUUUGCAUUGGAUCUA